rnacentral:lncRNA from 1 species
GAAAGAUGCAGAGCUCUUGGAGCGGGUCCUGAGGAGGGCUACUAAGAUGAUCAGAGGGCUGGAGCACCUCUCCUAUGAAGAAAGGUUGAGUGAACUGGGCUUGUUUAGCUUGAAGAAGAGAAGGAUCUGGGGAGACCUCAUUGUGGCUUCCAACACUUGAAGAUGACUCACACUACAGAAAAUGAGCUGUGUGAUUUGCACUUCUGGUUUGCCAGCUGGGACCCAGCCCAGAUCAUUUGUCUGCAUCAGGUGCUAUCAGCAGGUGUGUGCAGAAGCAGAGCGAGGAAGAGUAAAAUUUCCUGAAAAAUCUGAUGAACACCUGGAGGACUCGCUAAGAAUUGCAGCCAAUUCCAUUGAACCAGACCAACGCAUUAGUUUCACAAAAACAAGCCCAGGACAAUUCCUCUUCACUCAAAGCAGCCCAGACAAGCCUAAAUGUUGGACACACGUGUUAUUGAAUUUCUGCUUGCUUCUAUUGCAACUGGCAAGAUGGUGCUUGGAGAAUUUUCUGCUACUGAAAACAGACUUCUCUUCCUCUUGGCUGCCGUACAUCCUUGCACCACACCUGGGAGUGACGUUGAUCACAUUCCCGUCUCCUGGCUGUGGAUCUGAAUGUUCCACCGUGUUAUCAUAAUGUGGACACUCAACUCAAGUCCCUGAGGUGAUAUUCUCCCCUUUCUCUUGGACAUAAGCAACAUGCCGUCAUUGAACUCUAGCAUCCUUUCUGUGUUUCACCCUUUCCCAAUCUGUCAAAAGUGGUCUCUGCGGUCUUAUGGAGAAAAGAGGAAGAAAAAAAUGGAAACUGCUCGGGAAAGUACUUUUGACCCAUUAUAACAUGUUCUUGGGAAGCUGAGGAGAGAUCAACUGAGCCAUGAUUCUCAUAGCAGGUGCUGCAGAGGUGAGGUGGGUCUCAGGUACAUUGCCUCUGGGACAGUUUCAGUGUCUGAGAAGAGUGGUCACUGGCUUUGACUAAAAUGGUACAUAUUAAUAGAUAAUUCUGUGCAUGUGCUUGUGUGUGUAGAUUUACACACAUUACAGAUCUUAGUGACGUGAGGAAUCUUGUUGUGUCACUGUAGUCAUCUGCACCUUUGGCCAAUCUCCCUGUCCUGAAUCCUUCCUAUUUAGAGCAUGUUUUUUAGGUUUAGUACUUCUCUCUUGACAAAUUUGUUUUGCACAGCAUUACUCAGAACUAGACAUGUGGAGUGGAGGCUUUACAAGUGACAAGCAGUGCAUGCGGACGACUCCAUCUCACUGGCUGUCCUCCUGACCGCACAUCCCAACACGAGUGCAAUCUCUACCCAAGUGGAUACAGCGCCAGUAUAAACUGUGAUGAUGCUUCUUGAUUACAUCAAAUUCUUCAGGAAGAGGAAGCACCAGGGAGAGCCUUAGUGCUGGCUCCUGCAUUCCUGGCCAGAGGCUCAGAUUCUAUCUGGAAAGUGGAGACUUUUAUGCACCUGCCCUAUUAUAAUCUGACUGUUUGUUCUCUUGUUAAUUUAAAUCAAAACAUUUAUGUUAACCAGGUAAUUAGGGGCCUUCAGUGUUAUGUCUUAUCAUUUCAAAUUGCUUUGUAAUCCCACUGUUAGCAAAGAGGGAAGAUUUGUGAAAGUUAAUAUUCUCUUUAAAUGAUUUUGCCUAUACACACGUAUAAGAGUCACCAAGGUAAAAAACUGAAUGCUAUGGUGCAAAGCAUGAGAAGGUGGCAUGAAGUUGUAUGAAGCUGUGCCUCUCUGCUAGGAGCUUCUGAGUACAAGAUGACUGAGUCUUCCACAUUCACUGUCUCCAAUUUUCAUAUCCAAUGUGCAGAGUUUCCAAGUAAAACAUGUACAUACUUUUCAGCUUUCAAUUCUGGAAAUUCGUGCUAAGAGCUGAGAGAUAAAUGAGAUUAUUCCUGGAAUGUUCAGUAACGUAAGUAUUGUACAGUAGCUAGAUACAUGAAAUAUCUUUUCUUUCUAGUAAUUAUGCCUACAGCUUUCCCAGAGAAGCCUAAAGCUCAGUCAGACUUGAUACAGACUGUGCUUUAGCUGACUUGUCACACAGCUCCACUGCAGACAUGUCCUG